GAUGAACGCUGGCGGCGUGCCUAAUACAUGCAAGUAGAACGCUGAAGGAGGAGCUUGCUCUUCUGGAUGAGUUGCGAACGGGUGAGUAACGCGUAGGUAACCUGCCUGGUAGCGGGGGAUAACUAUUGGAAACGAUAGCUAAUACCGCAUGACAACAGUUAUUGCAUGAUAACUGUAUAAAAGGGGCAACUGCUCCACUACCAGAUGGACCUGCGUUGUAUUAGCUAGUUGGUGAGGUAACGGCUCACCAAGGCGACGAUACAUAGCCGACCUGAGAGGGUGAUCGGCCACACUGGGACUGAGACACGGCCCAGACUCCUACGGGAGGCAGCAGUAGGGAAUCUUCGGCAAUGGACGGAAGUCUGACCGAGCAACGCCGCGUGAGUGAAGAAGGUUUUCGGAUCGUAAAGCUCUGUUGUAAGAGAAGAACGAGUGUGAGAGUGGAAAGUUCACACUGUGACGGUAUCUUACCAGAAAGGGACGGCUAACUACGUG
rnacentral:rRNA from 1 species